AGCAGCUUUGCUGAAGCAACAAGGAAUUGGUGUUAAAGGUGCUAGCAAAAGUGCUCCUGUAAAUGAGGAAGUCCCUCCGUUGCUUGAAGGGGGUGGAAAAAUAGAGGUUUGGCGUAUCAAUGGUAGUGCAAAGACCUCAGUCACCGGAGAUGAUAUUGGUAAAUUUCACUGUGGAGAUUGCUAUAUCAUUCUUUACACAUACCACCACAGUGACAGGAAAGAAGAUUAUUAUCUAUGCUGGUGGAUUGGAAAGGAUAGCGUUGAGGAGGACCAAAACAUGGCUGCCAAAUUGGCUAGUACAAUGUGCAAUUCACUUAAAGGGAGACCAGUGCUGGGUCGCAUAUAUCAAGGAAAAGAACCACCACAAUUUGUUGCAAACUUCCAGCCCAUGUUGGUCCUUAA
rnacentral:misc_RNA from 1 species